UACGUAGGGGGCAAGCGUUGUCCGGAAUCAUUGGGCGUAAAGAGCGCGUAGGCGGCCCGGUAAGUCCGCUGUGAAAGUCAGGGGGCUCAACCCUUGGAAGCCGGUGGAUACUGUCGGGCUAGAGUCCGGAAGAGGCGAGUGGAAUUCCUGGUGUAGCGGUGAAAUGCGCAGAUAUCAGGAGGAACACCUAUGGCGAAGGCAGCUCGCUGGGACGGUACUGACGCUGAGGCGCGAAAGCGUGGGGAGCAAACAGG
rnacentral:rRNA from 1 species